CAGUAGCCACGGUAAAACGGAGGGGGCUAGCGUUGUUCGGAAUUACUGGGCGUAAAGCGCACGUAGGCGGCUUGGUAAGUUAGAGGUGAAAGCCUGGAGCUCAACUCCAGAAUUGCCUUUAAGACUGCCGAGCUAGCAGGUGAGAGAGGUAAGUGGAGUUCCGAGUGUAGAGGUGAAAUUCGUAGAUAUUCGGAAGAACACCAGUGGCGAAGGCGGCUCACUGGCUCAUACUGGACGCUGAGGUGCGAAAGCGUGGGGAGCAAACAGGAUUAGAUACCCCGGUAGUCCCUGUCUCUUAUAC
rnacentral:rRNA from 1 species